UAGGGAAUCUUCCACAAUGGACGCAAGUCUGAUGGAGCAACGCCGCGUGAGUGAAGAAGGUUUUCGGAUCGUAAAGCUCUGUUGUUGGUGAAGAAGGAUAGAGGCAGUAACUGGUCUUUAUUUGACGGUAAUCAACCAGAAAGUCACGGCUAACUACGUGCCAGCAGCCGCGGUAAUACGUAGGUGGCAAGCGUUGUCCGGAUUUAUUGGGCGUAAAGCGAGCGCAGGCGGAAUGAUAAGUCUGAUGUGAAAGCCCACGGCUCAACCGUGGAACUGCAUCGGAAACUGUCAUUCUUGAGUGCAGAAGAGGAGAGUGGAAUUCCAUGUGUAGCGGUGGAAUGCGUGGAUAUAUGGAAGAACACCAGUGGCGAAGGCGGCGCUCUGGUCUGCAACUGACGCUGAGGCUCGAAAGCAUGGGUAGCGAACAGG
rnacentral:rRNA from 1 species